UACGUAGGGAGCAAGCGUUGUCCGGAAUCAUUGGGCGUAAAGCGCGCGUAGGUGGCCUCAUAAGUCCGCUGUGAAAGUCAAAGGCUCAACCUUUGAAAGCCGGUGGAUACUGUGAGGCUAGAGUACGGAAGAGGCGAGUGGAAUUCCUGGUGUAGCGGUGGAAUGCGCAGAUAUCAGGAGGAACACCAAUAGCGAAGGCAGCUCGCUGGGACGUUACUGACACUGAGGCGCGAAAGCGUGGGUAGCAAACAGG
rnacentral:rRNA from 1 species